ACAUUUGCACAGUGGCAUUGUCGUGACCAGUGAGGUAAGACUGAGGUGUGGUUAUUGCUUGUUGAGGGCUUUUACCAAUACCCCACCAAAGAGACGUGAAAUACUGUCUCUUGGGCAAUUUUUGGCAGCUCCUGCAUGGC
rnacentral:snRNA from 1 species